rnacentral:lncRNA from 1 species
UCCCUCCCUGCUCCUAAGGGGCCAGUCCCCACAGGGCUGGGCUGCCUGUGUGCUGAGGGCCAGUGGGCAGAGGCAAAGCUGGCAGCCAGCUCAGCUCCCCACUGCAGCCUAGGCCGCAGUGCUAUGUCUGAGACCCCCCUGAGACAGAGCUCUGACCCCACAGAGCUGCUUUGACCAUGUGGAAGACGAUCAUGUGCUCGUGCAGGACUGCAGAGACGGCCAUGCUCGUACUCCUUGAUGUGCUGGCCAACUGGCCAGACCACAGCAUGUGCACCUCCGAUGGGGACCACACGGCUGUCCUUGCCCUGGCUGUGAGUUUCUGCAACUGGCCUUUGCUCAUCCCAAGCUCACCUCUCCAUGAGCUCCCCAUCCUCCCUCCACCACAGUGUCUUGCUGCCUCUCCCUGCUGGGCUGAAACCUGGCCCAGGGGCAGCUUCAGAGCCACCAGGCCCCAUGCUCCCCCUGCGUCUCCGCUGGCCUCUCCCUGUCACGCUCAGACACCUUGGCACUGAGCUCGGGCUGCUCUUUCCUUUGCAGGCAACUGUGGUGAUGUGGAAGAUCCUUCAGAUGCCCUGUGUCCCACAUGUGGUGACCGUGCAUUUGCCCCGCCUCUUUGUGUAUCUGCUCUUCCAAGUGCUCUUCAGCACCCUGGAUAUGCCAGAGGCAGCCAAUACCUUCUGGAAGGGAUGCCAGCAGCAACACGGCCUUGCCACCAGCCCCAACAGCUUUGCAGAGCAGACCCUGAAGGCCCUGCUCUGCCGACUGCACUAUGAGGAUGUGGUGGUGGCAAUGGAAGACAAGUAUGGCUGGGACACGCUGCUCUGUGCUGACACCCACCACUGUGCUGUGGGCAUGCUGGCCAGGUGAGACCCCCUGCUCCCCAGCUGCCCCUGGCAUUUGUGCCCUGUGCCUGGCGUGCCCCUCACAGUGGGGCCCCAUGGUUGUGGGCCACAAGGCCUUGUCACCAAGAGACGGCCAAGGAGACUGCAAAAGGCUGGGAGAGGAAC